rnacentral:other from 1 species
ACGUGCCUGCUGUGUGCGUGAUGUCGCACCCAACGUUUUGAGCCAACACCCAUCCGAAGGGCAUUCGCAUCCAGCUGCAGCGCGGUAGACGUGCGUCAAGGCGUGAGAGCUGGCGAGAUGACCCACCUGCGAAAGCAGGUUCAAAACUUGCGGUCACACGGCAUAGCGGGUACUUU